CAUAGACACAGAGGCAUGCUUAGCUCUGCAGGAUAGAAUGCAUGUGUCAUUGUUUGUUGUAGGAAAAGCGUAAAAGAUCCAAUAACUUUGGUUUAGGUGCCAGAUACGGAGGAAUAUGGUAGGCAUCGGACAAAAGGCUUGAGCGGAGCACCUUGUGAGAGAGGGAGCAAGAGAGAGAGAGAGAGAUGGAGACGGAGCAAGAUGGAACAAGAUGGUGCCGACAGACAUGGUCACCCUGUUCCUAGCGCCUAACAAACUUUGCCAUAUAUAUUUUUUUGUGUUAUUUCUUACAUCAUUUGCUCAGAACAUUUCUUGCAAUAUUAGCUAGUCCGGAAAUACAUUUAGGAUAUUAGAUCAGCAGUCACUCACCAGCAUUUAAAAAAAAUAAUACUUUCCUGAAUUGGUUCCUUUGUUCUUAUCCCCCGAGGCAUUUCCACUCAUCCCAAGGGCUGCUCCAAGACGCUGCCAACGGAGAAGAGGAUUAUCGAGUGGACUUGUAGCAUCCACCGCUUCCGAGUAUCCCUGGACAAUAAAGUAUACGAGCUCAGGGUGAGGAUUUCUUUCCAGAGAGACAUCAGGGACUGUAACAUACUCUGUUUCACAGAAUCAUGGCUCUCUCCGGAUAUACUGUCCCUGUCCAUACAACCAGCGGGGUUCUCCUUACAUCGCACAGACAGGAAGAAAUACAUCUCUGGGAAAAAGAAAGGCAGAGGUGUAUGCUUCACCAUGAACUGGGGGCAGCAGGUAGCCUAGUGGUUAGAGCGUUGGACUAUUAACCGAAAACCGCUGCAAGAUCAAAUCCCCAAACUGACAAGGUAAAAAUCUGUCGUUCUGCCCCUGAACAAGGCAGUUAACCCACUGUUCCUAGGCCGUCAUUGAAAAUAAUAAUUUGUUCUUAACUGACUUGCCUAGUUAAAUAAAGGUAAAACAAAAUAAAAAAAACUACUCAUGGUGUGAUUGUGGUAAUGUACAAGAACUCAAGUCCUUUUGUUCUCCCGAUUUGGAAUACCUCACUAUCAAAUGCCGACCGCAUUACCUCCCGAGAGAAUUCUCUUUGGACAUUGUCACGGCC
ensembl:lncRNA